CGCAUCAGGUGACAGCCCGGAAGCAGCGGAAGCGGAUGAGGGAAGCUCGGCUGCGGCCCGGGGGGGGCGGUGCAGAGCUGCAGGAGCCUCGGCCUCCUCCUCGCUCCCUGCGAGGCUCUCAUGCGACGCCCUCGCUGACACCUGAAAUCCACUGCGCGCCUCCUCCUGGGGGUCACGGGGUUGCUCGGCUUGCCGCCCUCGGCGGUUGCAGUCAUCGUCUUGCGGGCCUGCGGCGGUCGCCCAUGGAGAAAAACGGGCGCGGCGGCGAUAGCGCCCCCCGUGGGCCCGUACUGCACAUCGCGGUGGUCGGCUUUCAUCACAAGAAGGGCUGCCAGGUUGAAUUCUCUUACCCGCCCCUGAUUCCAGGAGAUGGACAUGACAGUCACACUCUACCUGAAGAAUGGAAGUAUUUGCCCUUCCUUGCCUUACCAGAUGGCGCACACAACUACCAAGAAGAUACUGUGUUUUUUCACUUGCCACCCAGAAAUGGAAAUGGAGCCACUGUAUAUGGUAUCUCUUGCUAUCGACAAAUUGAAGCCAAGGCAUUGAAGGUACGGCAAGCAGAUAUCACCAGAGAGACCGUUCAGAAAAGUGUCUGUGUUCUAAGCAAGCUGCCUCUCUAUGGCUUACUUCAAGCAAAACUUCAACUCAUUACGCAUGCAUAUUUUGAAGAGAAGGAUUUUUCCCAAAUUUCCAUUCUAAAGGAGCUCUAUGAACAUAUGAAUAGUUCCCUGGGAGGAACUUCAUUAGAAGGAUCCCAGGUAUAUCUUGGUUUAUCUCCUCGAGAUCUUGUGCUUCAUUUUCGACACAAGGUCCUAAUCCUGUUUAAACUAAUUCUUCUUGAAAAGAAGGUUCUCUUUUACAUUUCUCCAGUGAAUAAAUUGGUGGGUGCCCUGAUGACAGUGUUAUCCCUUUUUCCAGGCAUGAUUGAACAUGGUCUCAGUGAUAGUUCUCAAUAUAGACCCCGAAAGAGUAUGUCUGAAGAUGUUGGGCUUCAAGAAAGUCAUCCCACUGAAGAUGAGUUUGUUUCUGUGCCUGCUCCUGACAUUUCAAAUACCAAUUUGGAAACUGUUGAGAAAAUCAUGAUGAGAAACCAUGGAAGAGAUGCUGCCAUGAAGACUGAAGAGCCUUUUUUCCAGGUAGAUGAUGACAGCAGUGAAGGACAGGAACCCAAUGACAGCAAUCAAUAUUUGAAACCUCCUUCUCGCCCAUCUCCAGAGUCUUCAGAAAGUGACUGGGAGACCUUGGAUCCUAGUGUCUUAGAGGACUCCUCCUUGAAAGAAAGAGAACAGGUGGGAUCAGAACAGACAAACUCAUUUCCAAAGGACUCUUUGCCCUCAGACAGUCCUCCGAUUACUGUACAACCUCAAGCUAACACAGGCCAGGUAGUCCUGAUACCAGGGAUAAUUUCUGGUUUGGAAGAGGACCAGUAUGGCAUGCCCCUGGCCAUCUUCACAAAGGGAUAUCUGUGUUUGCCUUAUAUGGCAUUGCAGCAGCAUCAUCUUCUCUCUGAUGUCACCAUUCGAGGAUUUGUUGCUGGAGCUACUAACAUCCUUUUUCGACAACAGAAACACCUCAGUGAUGCCAUUGUGGAAGUAGAAGAAGCUCUGAUCCAGAUCCAUGAUCCAGAACUCAGGAAGCUGCUUAACCCAACCACUGCAGACCUAAGGUUCGCAGAUUACCUAGUGAGGCAUGUGACCGAGAACCGAGAUGAUGUCUUCCUGGAUGGCACGGGCUGGGAGGGAGGUGACGAAUGGAUUCGAGCCCAGUUUGCAGUCUACAUCCAUGCACUGCUGGCCGCCACACUGCAGUUAGAUAAUGAAAAGAUCUUAUCAGACUAUGGGACGACCUUUGUUACAGCAUGGAAGAACACUCACAACUACAGGGUCUGGAACAGCAACAAGCAUCCAGCACUUGCAGAAAUAAAUCCAAACCAUCCUUUCCAAGGCCAGUAUUCAGUGUCAGACAUGAAGUUAAGAUUCUCACAUUCUGUUCAAAACAGUGAACGUGGCAAAAAACUUGGAAACGUCAUGGUCACAACGAGUCGGAAUGUUGUGCAAACAGGAAAAGCUGUUGGCCAGUCAGUUGGAGGAGCUUUUUCCAGUGCAAAGACAGCCAUGUCUUCAUGGCUUUCUACUUUCACCAGUUCCACUCCACAGAGUCUCACUGAGCUGCCUGACGGGAAACCCUGAGCGGAGCAAGCCACCCAGAAGCUGCUGUCGCUUUCUUAGGUUUAAGCAUCCCCUGUCUGUCUGCUGCUCCCAGACUGUUCCUCUUCAUCGACCACAGGUCCACAGCAGGGACCAAUAGGUCGAACUGUUUACAGGGACGGUUGCCCUCUGUGUAAAUGAAUGUCACGGGAUGCUGAAAAGACGAAACCACAAGCGUAGCAGGGACGGCUUCCCAGUGGACUUGGCCUGUUUUUCUAGAAGUACCCUUCAUGUUGUCAGUGUGGUUUCUGGCCUGCUUCACAGUUGGAGAGAAGGGCCAGCUUCGUUUAUUAGGAAACCAGCGGAACUAAAGGACUCAUUGCUCGUUUUUUUUUUUUACUCUCUCAUUUUGAAAAUACUUGUGGUGCUUCAGUUUGUGAGGUGGUGACCCUCGCAGCAAGAAUGUUUAGUGCCUGGGGCUGCACAGAGUACAACCAAACGCAGUUUGGUCGUGCAGUAACAUCUUGUCACAUGCUCACGGACAGAAAUCCCCAGGGGACUAGGAUAUUGCCCCAAGCAACCCAUUUUUCCAUCCGUACUGGUGAGCUUCAGAAUAACCUUGACGUUUCCAGUGAGGACUCCUAGCACAUUUUCACAUAUGUAUUUCCAUGUACCAUGGUUUCCUUAUAGCUGUUUUGCAAAACAGCUUCACAGAAGAAGGAGACAAAUUUCUUUGUUCCCAGGAAUGUGCGCUGCCUUGAGUACAGGGUUAAAUUUAAGGUACCAGUGUUCUUACAACGUGGACUGUUGCUGCCUGGAGCUGACAAGGUGACUCGGGCAGUAGAGCUCGACACCGCCAACAUCUCCCUUUUCCGAGGACCUGUUCCAGCUGCGCUUCAGGCUCUGCCGUGGUGAGGGGAUGGUCCCGCAUCGUCUCCCAGGUCAGAGCUGCCUUCUCUUCAUUCUGAUAGAAUGGGAGUUGCAAUGAUCAAACCUGGCAACAUCUGGAAAGAGCAGGAUUAUAGAGCCAGUUUCUUCCAAGGAACCACACUUAGUGAAGGGCUCAUCUCCUCCUGUGGUAAUCACAGGCUUAGGGAACUGCUCUGCAGCAGGACUGAUCUGUCCAAGUUCACAAUCGACAAAUCCCCAGCGGAGCUUCCAGUCGCGUGACCGACAGCCAACUCCAGUCGAGGCGGCUAAGGUCAUCCAACACAGGUAACACACUUUGUAUGGCUAUGGAUUCAGAGGCCGGGGAGUGUCUGGGGCAGGAAAGCCAGAUGGUUGUGCUCUUUGCUCUUGAUCCCAUGUAUACCUGUUUUGGAACCACUGACAUCCCAGCCUAACACAAAAACUAAGAUUCAAAUGUUUCUAAAUGUGUAUGUUUUAUCCUUCACCAGAGCUGGCUUCCCUCCUGGGACACAUUGAUAUGGAGGGUGGGAAAAUGGCGAAAGCCACUUGAUAACAUACUGAUCAUUGUUGAAGCCAGGAGAUUUGCUAGACUAUUCUGGUGUUAAUGUAUGUUUGAGAAUUUCCAUAAUGAAAAGUUAAAAACUCCUUGCUCGCCAUUAAACAACUCUGCUGCUGCUGAAAAGGCUUCACCCUCUGGGUCCUCCCUGCCCUCCCCCGGCCCCCGACCCUGGCAAUACUCUCAAGUAGUUGCAGGGAAUUUUGAAGCCUUCAGUUAGGCUCUCGGCAUCAAAUCAGUGUGUCUGCUAGUCCUCUUCUGACCUUACGUGGUUCCAGUCACUUGUCCUUGUAAAGCAGAAUCUCUCUUGAGUUAGCUUUAGAAUGGAAGGGCUGGGAAAGAACAGAAAAUAAGUUUUUGAAAAAGUUUGUUCCAUCACUAAGUUCCUACUGUUCUUCCUCAGUAACUCGUCUUCGUUCCAUCGCUUUCUAACUUCACUUCCGUCAUUCCUGGUCUAUUAUGCCUGAGCCUUUAUUAGUUUCUCUACUUUCAGUCCACCCUACCCCUCACACCCAGAAUCAUCUCCCUAAGACAUUAGGGUUUUUUGGUUUUUUUUAAGACACCAAUUGUACUUGAACAUUUGUUACUUUUUUUUUAAAUUUAUUUAUUUAUUUUUGGCUGUGUUGGGUCUUCGUUUCUGUGCAAGGGCUUUCUCUAGUUGCGGUGAGUGGGGGCCACUGUUCAUCACGGUGCGCGGGCCUCUCACUGCCGCGGCCUCUCUUCUUGUGGAGCACAAGCUCCAGAUGCGCAGGCUCAGUAGUUGUGGCUCACGGGCCCAGUUGCUCCGCGGCAUGUGGGAUCCUCCCAGACCAGGGCUCAAACCCGUGUCCCCUGUAUUGGCAGGCAGAUUCUCAACCACUGCGCCACCAGGGAAGCCCCAUUAGGGUAUUUUUAAUUGUCCCUUUGCUGCAUGGUAAUCCUCCAAGUCUACUUACUGUCUACAGAAUUAAAUCCAGAUUCCUGAAUCAGGCACUCAGGGUCCACCACACAGUAACAUCCCAAACUUCUCUCCUGACACCCUGGCCUCCACAAGCCCCCUGGCUAAGUGACACCUUUGCUGUGGUCACGCUUUCCCACCCCUCUAGUUGUUGGAGAAGCAUUAUUGAGAGAACCCCUGAUAGACACUUAACUGAAGGUCAGCUCCAGCCUCUCUUGCUCUUCAAAGUCUCCCCUGGGGCUACUCGGAGUUCCUUCUAAAAUACUUGGACUCAGCUUUGAUUGAGCACCACGCAAAUAGGUGCUUCUGUCUUGGAGAUUUUCAACCAGUAAAACUUUAAGAAAGGGACGGGCAACUUAAGUGCGAAAUACACAUACAGAAAAGAAAUGUAUACAUUAAGCUUAACCAAUCACACAACUAGUACCCAGGCAAGAAAUAGCAUAUUGCCCACACCUAAAAUGCGCUGCCCCUUGUGUCUCUCCCAGAUCAUAAUUCUUCCUUCUCCAGAUGUGUUUGGUUUUCUGAUUUUUGAGAUAAUCGUUUUCUUAUAAUUCGACCUCCUUCUUCCUGUGUAUGUUUCCCAAACAGCAUUGUUAUUUUUUGUCUGUUUUUGAACUUGUAUAAACGGUAUCACACCAUUUGUAUUGUCUUUUUCUGCUUAAUUUUGGUUUUAGGAGAUCAUUCUCUUUCACUGCUUUAUAAGCUGUUCCACUGUACGACUGCACCACAGUUUAUCCAGUCUGCUGUGGGUGGGCAUUGGCUGUUUCUGGUUUGAAGCUAAUGUGAAGAGCAGUGCUGCUCUGACCUUUCUAGUAUGCAUCUCCCAGUGCACCUGUGCAUGUUUUCUCUAGGGUAUAAAUGUGGGAAUGAAACUGCAGGGUCAUGGGAAUAUGUGUCUCUUCAAACUUUUUAGUUAAUGCCAACCUGUUUUUCAAAGGGAUGAUACCAUUUUACCCUCCCACCAGCAGGGAAUGAGAACAACAUUGUUCCACAUUGUCUCCCAUGCUUUGGUAUCACCAGGAAUUUAAAUUUCUGCUGAUUUGAUGGGUGUAAGAUGGUAUCUCCUUGUGGAUUUUAAUUUGCAUUUCCCUGUGUACAAAUAAAAUUGAGUACUUUUUAAUUUACUUAUUGACUGUUUAGAUUUCCACUUUCAUGAAAUGCCUAUUCGUCUUUUACCCAUUUUUCUGUUAGGUUAUCUGUUUCUUAUUUGCUUGCAUUUUAAUUUUACGAGUGUGUAUGUAUGUGUGUAUACCUCAAUCUAUAGAUAGAUAGACGAUAGAUAGAUGGAUUUCUGGAUACUAUUUCUUUGUCAAUUAUGUGUGUUGCAAAUACUCAUUCCGUGACUUACCUUCAUUCUUUAUGGUCUCUUGUGAUGCAUAGAGUUCUUAAUGUAGUCAAAUUUAUCUUUCCUCUUAUGAUUAGAGGAAAUGAUAUCUUUUUGUGUUUUAUUUAAGAAACUUUUCUCUACCUCAAGGUCAUAAGGAUAUUCUCUGUAAUCUUCUGGGAGUUUUUCAGUUUUGCCUUUCACAUUUAGGGCUUUCUUCACCUGAGAUUUCUUUCCCAGUCCCCACUCCGCCCUCCCCUCCCCGAUAUGGCUAGAAAGUUUUGGCACUUCUUAUUUGGCCAAGUAAGGACUCUAUUUAUUUAUUAUUUAUUUAUUGGUUUUUAAAAACCUUUUAUUGAAAUAUAGUUGAUUUACAAUGUUGUGUUCUAGGUGUACAGCAAAGCGAUUCAGUUUUAUAUAUGUAUAUUAUAUAUAUAUAUAUAAUAUAUAUAUAUACACGCACUGCUUUUUAGAUUAUUUUCCAUUAUAGGUUAUUACAAGAUACUGAGUAGAGUUCCCUGUGCUAUACAAUAGGUUCUUGUUGGUUAUCUGUUUUAUAUAUAGUAGUGUGUAUAUUUUAAUCCCAAACUCCUAAUUUAUCCCACCCCUGUCCCCUUUCCCCUUUCCCCUUCGGUAACCGAAGUUUGUUUUCUAUGUCUGUGAGUCUGUUUCCGUUUUAUAAAUAAGUUCAUUUGUAUCAGUUUUUUAGAUUCCAUAUAUAAACCAUAUCAUAUGAUAUUUGUCUUUCUCUUAUCACUGUCACUUUUUACAAAGACGUUUUAAUACCAAAACAUGGGAAGAGCAUAGGGUCAGAGUAAAGGAGAAUCCUUUAAAUCAAAUUAGUAACUCUUUGUGUUGUAUGAGUUUAAUUUGUCCCUAUUUUUCUCAUUUUGUUACAGGUCCUGUGCAAAACUUUGCCUCAGCAUGAGUUUUUGAAGACAGAGGAGGGAACCCAAUUUUUUUUACUUUGAAGGGCUGAUGUUCUCCAAGUCUAGCAGUCACAUAAAUGUCUGGUGUGUCCGGAACUGUCCUGGGCAGCCACAAGCCCUAAGGACUUUUAGCACCGAAGCAGAGACUCACACUGGCCUCCAGAGAUCCAAGAUGUGCACAUCUUUGGCUACUUGCCCUGGGAAGUCACUUUCAGAACUAACCCAUGUCCCUCACACUGCAUUUUAAACCCUACCUUCUUCCCAUCAAGUAUUUGAGUGCCUACUGUGUACACACACAGUACAUGCCACCCACAUAGCAGGGGGAGAAUGGAUGGUUACCAUAGUGGGUAAAGAGGCUGGGUCAAAGGUCAGCCCAGUGUGUUUGAGCAGGUGGCCAGCUCCUUUUUGGCAGGGGUGAGUAGAUGUUUCUUCCCCUGAAGGCUAAGUGAUAGUUUUAGGAGUGAGGUGGGUUUAGAUACAAAGGGCUCCAGGGCCUAGGAGAACAACAUAGGCAAAGACUGGGAAGCAGUGAAUAUUCUUUGGUGUGGCUGGAACCUAAAUGGCAAGGGGGGAUGGGCAAGAGAUGAGGCUGUAAGAUAAGGCCAGGUUUGGAAAAAGAGAUACCUGUCAGCCUGGCAGAGGGGGGGUGGACUUGAUCUAAAAGGGUAGGGGAAAACCUUAAAGGGCUCUCCAAGGGCAAGUGGCAGGUUGGGUGCUGCAUUUGAGAAAGUUCAUUCUGGGUUGGGCACCACUGCAUUUGCAUAGCCAUUAGCUCUAGUGAUGUCUCUCUGAACUCAGCCAUCACCGCCUUCCUUUUCCUCAAGGGCCCAAUCUCUUAGCUUUGUACCAACUUUAAAUCCCAUUUGCCCCAAACAGUGGGCCCCAGAACAAAACUCCUAUGGACCCAGCCCUCAGUCAAAAACCAGUCAUCCUGAUGUCACCCUGAGAACUGUUUUCCUUUGAUUUCUCCAGCCGUUAGACUAGCGGGGGGGGGGGGGGGGGGGCGCUUGUGAAGGAGGAGCGGCUCUAAAGUGAUUGUGGGCGGUGCCGGGAGAGCCCGGAGGACACUUCAGCAUCUGCUGAGGUUACUCUUUUUGGCAAAGGGGAGACCCAAGAGACCCGUGCCGCCACCACCAUGUUGAUAAACCUGGGUGAAACUCACUGUUUCUUCCUAAAGUUUACAAGCAGGAAGGGAAUACUUCAUAUGUUCUAAAAGUCCAUCUGCAGUUAACAUCCGGACUUUCAUUUAUAUUCGAUCUAAUCCAUGGAAUUUUUAUUCUGAUCAGCGUUACCAGAUGAGCCAUGUGCACUGAGGAAUGAUUAGCCCAAAGUAGGACAGAAGAGAAUCUGAAAAGUAGCCUUUCCACCUGCCCCCUGGCUCUGCCCUAGAAAACAGUCAGUCAGCAGCACUUCCUAGAAACCACGGAGACAGAAGUUACGCUGCACCGUCUUCAGCUGCAGGAAUCCUGAAUUGGUUCUUUGUACAAGAUCAUCCAUUACACGCCAAAGCCUCAGUGCCCUCGAUAGAUCAUUCACUCCCACUAAAUGCCUUAGAAAUGGAAAUUCCAGAAAUGCAAGAGGGACUUCCCUGGUGGUCCAGCGGUUAAGACUCUGUGCUCCCAAUGCAGGGGGCCUGGGUUCGAUCCCUGGUCAGGGAAGUAGAUCCUGCAUGCUGCAACUAAAAGAGCCCACAUGCCGCAACUAAAAGAGCCCACAUGCCGCAACUAAAAGAGCCCACAUGCUGCAGUGAACAUCCCGCGUGCUGCAAUGAAGAUCCCAUGUCCUACAACCAAGACCUGCUGCAGCCAAAUAAAUAAUAAAUGUUAAAAAAAAAAAGAAAUGAGAGAGAUUUCUGUGUAUUAAUUUUGUAUCCUGUGACUUCACCAAAUUCUUUGAUGAGCACUAGUAGUUUUCUGGUAUAGCAUCUUUAGGAUUUCUGUGUAUAGUAUCUUGUCAUCUGCAAACAGUGACAGUUUUACUUCUUCUUUUCCAAUUUGUAUUCCUUUUCUUUCUUUUUCUUCUCUGAUUGCCAUGGCUAGGACUUCCAGAACUAUGUUGAGUAAGAGUGGCAAGAAUGGACAUCCUGGUCUUGCUCCUGAUCUUAGAGGAAAUGCUUUCAACUUUUCACCACUGGGAGUAUGUUGUUAGCUGUGAGCUUGUCAUAUAUGGCCUUUAUUAUGUUGAGAGGAACUUGACCACCUGCUAUAUAGAUGUCAUUAUCGGGAGUUACAACGGUCCCAACCUUAUGUAAAUCAGCUGGUGGGCUGCAUAGCUUGUAAACUUUUUCUGCUUGGGGGCUGUAACAGACAGAAGAGUAAAGACUACAAGGAUUUUCUGAAGAUGCUUCAAUGAAAAUCAUCAUCUCUUCUUUAGUCAUUCCAAGUCUUGGUUUGAAAAACUUGGGCAUGGACUUAUACAGACCUUGAACAACUACAGACUUAUCAUUGGGUGGCAGACCUUGAAACCAAGCUCUCUGUGUUACUUCUGAAAGUGCAUCAAUUCUGAUUUGGCUAAGAACUGAAGACAAAUACUGGGAUCGUGAUUCUGUGUUGUACUCUAGCCACAGCAUAGCAGCUUCACGAACUGUCUCCUCCUUUUCUACGUUCAAAUUGUCACUACUGAGAAUGUCUAUCAGUAAGUCAUGUGACAGCUGCAUGAAAGCUUCCUGGUGAUACACAGCAGUGAACUUGUGCUCCACCAUCCUUUUAGCACUUUGUUUUAAUUCCUCACAACUGAACAGAUCAGCAAAACUCAACAAUCGCACACAGUUCUCUGCAUUUAUCUUUUUAAUUAAAUAUUCUCGACAACGUUGUAACACAUCUUCUACCUAAAAUAGAAGGGAAAAAAAAGGCUGAUAAAGGCAGGCUAGACAAAUUUUAUUUUUAUGUAACACACAGGUAUAUUAAUCAGAUCCCUAUACUAUAGUUUUUAUUUUUAGAUAUACAUGUUUGGGCUAAGAGAUAAUCUUCCAGUAAUAAUAAAAUUAGAAGACUAUGCAUAGUU